rnacentral:rRNA from 1 species
CGGGAGACACACGGCGGGUGCUAACGUCCGUCGUGGAGAGGGAAACAACCCAGACCGCCAGCUAAGGUCCCAAAUUAUAGCUAAGUGGGAAACGAUGUGGGAAGGCUUAGACAGCUAGGAUGUUGGCUUAGAAGCAGCCAUCAUUUAAAGAAAGCGUAAUAGCUCACUAGUCGAGUCGGCCUGCGCGGAAGAUGUAACGGGGCUAAGCUAUAAACCGAAGCUGCGGCAAUGAAGUUUACUUCAUUGGGUAGGGGAGCGUUCUGUAAGCCGUUGAAGGUGUGUUGUAAAGCAUGCUGGAGGUAUCAGAAGUGCGAAUGCUGACAUGAGUAACGAUAAAGGGGGUGAAAAACCUCCUCGCCGGAAGACCAAGGGUUCC